GUUGAGAGGAAUGUUGUCUGGCUCGAGGUCAUGGAAAUAUAUAUACAUCAAGUGUUUCAGUUUCCAGGGUGAAUUAAUGAUUCUCGGACCAGGCUUCAUUCCCCCCAGC
rfam:Cajanus cajan CcLG08_326, whole genome shotgun sequence.